UCUUCUACGAUUUUCUCUCCGUCCCGCACACUCACCGCCGCCACCCCCUCUCUCAUGGUCCCCUUCAUCAUCGGAGCCUCCGGAGAAAUUUUUCCGUCAAUUGAUGGACUUCGAAAGCUCGUCCGCUAAUUUACCAGAUGCCCACCCUUCUCAAUGAGAUUUGGAACCCCAACCCCAAUCUCAAAUGCCCACUCUUCUCUUUGAAAGGUAUGACUGAUACAGCCAAGUUCAUUUGCAGGACUGAUGCCUCAGGCUAGUUACGUACCCCGUUGUAUGGAAUCUAACACCUUCAGGAUAUGAAAUCAGGUGUGGGUCAGGCUUCUGAAAUUUUGUAAUUUCAAGAUUGGGUGUUUCUAUAUAGCUCUAUAUUGAUACAUUGCAUUUUGUGAUAUGGAUUUGAGGUAGGUUCUGAACUUGAUUCUUCAUCUGGGCAUUAUAAUUUUUUGCUUGUAAUUGAUGGGAUUCCAGUGGUAAUAUAUAUCAUUUAUCAUGAGAGAUUGAUUCUUUGGCAAGGCUAAAACUGGUAUACAUGUUCUUUGCAUUCCAGGGUGUUUUAUUUCUUCUGUUUCAUGGCAUUCCUGUGUUGUUCUCUUAUACUCCAUACAAUUUCAUAAUGUGUAGGCAAUCAGUAAGGUUUUUUUUUUUCCACUUGAUAGAGAUGCAUUCCCCUCUUUGAAACUGCAUGCAAUUGGUUUUACUUUGUUUUCAGAGCUGAAUUCAUGAUGUUGAAAACAUAUUGGAACUUCUAAAAUUAAAAGCUGUCAUGUGUCUUCUGGAAUUAUACUAUGUACUAUGAAACUGAUUUGAAAGCAAAACAUCUUCCCUUUCUUAAAUGUGCAUGACUAUUGUUAAAAGAAAUGAGGCAGGUCUGAACUCUAUCUUGCUAUAGAUCAAGAAAUCUAUUUGUAUGAACUAAGAAGAUGGCAGAGAGUUGUUCUGUUCAGAGUAACUCAUUUGCUCCCUACCCAUGAAGAACUCUGGCUCAGAAUUCUUAUAAUCAAUGUUCGAGCUGAUUAGUUUGCCUUUUGGUUACCCUUAUAAUUUACAGAAUGAAUCACAGCAUCAAGCACAAACCACACUUCCAUCGUGAUAAAUCCACGCAUUCCACAGGCGCAACAAUAUAAAACUGAGUAUCAAGUGCUCAACAAAACAAGAGAGGCCAACACCUUAUGAAAUGAAUAUCUAAAGCAUCAAAAGAGCGUUCCACCUGCAACCAGUUUUUAUAAAAUCCUUCAAUGUAGACCCUCUUUUGAGUCUCUUUAGCUGGAGACCCAAACACAAGACACAGCUAAAGAAUAGUUUAUCCCUCCCUUGCUUUAUUAAACGAUACAUACCAAGUUUGAUUUGAAGUUAUUGAUUCCGGUGGAGAAAUUCAUGUAACAUGUUGAACAGAAACGUUCUACUAUGCAAUGUUAUCCCAGUAACAUAUAA